rnacentral:misc_RNA from 1 species
GAUGAAGAACGCAGCGAAAUGCGAUAAGUAAUGUGAAUUGCAGAAUUCAGUGAAUCAUCGAAUCUUUGAACGCACCUUGCGCUCCUUGGUAUUCCGAGGAGCAUGCCUGUUUGAGUGUCAUGAAAUUCUCAACCUUUUCAGCUUUCUUUGUUGAUCAGGCUUGGAUGUGGGAGUAUGCGGGCUUCUCAGAAGUCGGCUCUCCUGAAAUGCAUUAGCGGGACCUUUGUUGCCUGGCUUUGGUGUGAUAAUUAUCUACGCCAUUGUAGUCAAGCAGCUUAAAAUGAGGUUUCAGCUUCUAACCGUCUCCCCUGAGACAACUUUUUGACAAUUUGACCUCAAAUCAGGUAGGACUACCCGCUGAACUUAUGCAUAUCAAUAAGCGGAGGA